UACAGAGGUGGCAAGCGUUGUUCGGAAUUACUGGGCGUAAAGGGCGCGUAGGCGGUUUGGUAAGUUGGAUGUGAAAUCUCCAGGCUCAACUUGGAGGGGUCAUUCGAUACUGCCAUGACUAGAGUUCGGUAGGGGAGUGUGGAAUUCCUGGUGGAGCGGUGAAAUGCGCAGAUAUCAGGAGGAACACCCGUAGCGAAGGCGGCACUCUGGGCCGGAACUGACGCUGAGGAGCGAAAGCGUGGGGAGCGAACAGG
rnacentral:rRNA from 1 species